GAUGAACGCUGGCGGCGUGCCUAAUACAUGCAAGUCGAGCGAACAGACGAGGAGCUUGCUCCUCUGACGUUAGCGGCGGACGGGUGAGUAACACGUGGAUAACCUACCUAUAAGACUGGGAUAACUUCGGGAAACCGGAGCUAAUACCGGAUAAUAUAUUGAACCGCAUGGUUCAAUAGUGAAAGACGGUUUUGCUGUCACUUAUAGAUGGAUCCGCGCCGCAUUAGCUAGUUGGUAAGGUAACGGCUUAUCAAGGCAACGAUGCGUAGCCGACCUGAGAGGGUGAUCGGCCACACUGGAACGGAGACACGGUCCAGACGCCUACGGGAGGCAGCAGUAGGGAAUCGUCCGCAAUGGGCGAAAGCUUGACGGAGCAACGCCGCGUGAGUGAUGAAGGUCUUCGGAUCGUAAAACUCUGUUAUUAGGGAAGAACAAAUGUGUAAGUAACUAUGCACGUCUUGACGGUACCUAAUCAGAAAGCCACGGCUAACUACGUG
rnacentral:rRNA from 1 species